UACGUAGGGUGCAAGCGUUAAUCGGAAUUACUGGGCGUAAAGCGUGCGCAGGCGGUUUUGUAAGACUGUCGUGAAAUCCCCGGGCUCAACCUGGGAACUGCAUUUGUGACUGUAGAGCUGGAGUACGGCAGAGGGGGAUGGGAAUUCCGCGUGUAGCAAGUGAAUGCGUAGAUAUGCGGAGGAACACCGAUGGCGAAGGCAAUCCCCUGGGCCUGUACUGACGCUCAUGCACGAAAGCGUGGGGAGCAAACAGG
rnacentral:rRNA from 1 species